AAUCUCAGUCGUUCUUUCAGGAACUGGGAAUCUCAUCUGGAGGCUGCAAUGAAACAGGAAAUGCAUAUCGCACAAGACCACAUUGAGUAUCUUUUUAAAAGAUGUCACCUAUUCCUAUAGCUAAACUGCCCCUUUCUCUUACCUGGAUUCCUGACUCUGAACAUGUGGAAUGUUGGGGAUCAGAUCCACAUCAGGAUGACAGAAACUUGCUGGUCAGCACCUGAUGCUUCAGUCCACCCUGAGAAGAGAGUCGUAUGCAUGCAUAAGGAGAACCACAAGCUGGUUAAAGUGUGGCUCUACUCUGAAAAGCCACUAUGGAAGACCGGCACCUUCUUACUCUAUAGAAGCAGUCCCUGCAUGCAGUUAGAGUUGGCUGCUCACUUUGGUGCCCAAAGUAAGUUUUUUUCCUGGUUUUUACUCCUGUGAGUCCUCUGGAGCCACGUACAGCUAAGGGAAAAUGAACUGGAUUCCAUUCCAUCUGGUGCAUCAGCAGCAGAGCAGUUGGCUAAAUUCCUCUCCAUUUUACAUGCUCAAACUCAUUGAAGACAAUGAGACUAUAUAGGCAUCAAACUGAAUCUGAAUCCUUCCUGUGCUGUCAGACAUCACUUUUAGGGCACAAACACCCCUGUUUACCAUGCUGUUUCCUGGAAUGGCUACCUUGAUCUGUUUCUAGCAUUUAAUUUUUUUUGUUUUUAACAAGGAUAGUUUGUUGGCCUACUGCCCUCCCUCAACCUGGAGGCCCAGUGGCCUGGUUUUUGUCUGGACCCUACCCUUUGACCUGUCUGGCUUGUGCAGCCCUACCCGGAGUUAAAGCUCCCGCUGGUAUACCUCUCGGAGUCCUUGGAACACAAAAGCCUUCCCACCACAUCAAGGUGCCCAGGGAAGGCUAAAGGCAUCAGCAGAGGACAUAAUUUGGUUUGCAGACCCUCUAUUACAGAUGAGGAUGUGCAAGAAGGAAAGAUUCUAUCUUGACUCUUAAACGCCUGGCUGAGUUUAUAUCACUGGCAGUUAUAAAAACAUCGUAUUUGGAAGCUGAACACAUUUAUUAUGCAAACCACUGUGAGAUAGCAAACAUGAUAUCUCACUGCCAUUGGUAUUGAAUCAUUUUUCAGAAUAGAGCUGCACUUUAAAUGCUGAAUCUUAUCUAAUCUCUAAAGUCUAACACUGCCCUAGGGGAACACACGAAUGGAGUAGGUUUUAUGUAUGAAAAGAUAUUUCUUUUGGGCCAAGGGGGUGCAAGUGAGAUGUACCUGGAAUUAAUUCUCAAAGCUUAGCCCUCCUGAAUUUAGCCAUGGUGUUUGAAAGGAAAGCAUUGGUGAGUAGAGUUGACUGGAAAAUGGUUUCUCCCUCUCCUCCCAUGGAAAAUUUGGAUAAAACCAAACAAAAACUGUUUUCCUGGAAAAUUUUCAGUUUUUCUCAGGAAGACCAGGCACAUUAGUUUUACCGUGAGGUAAAUGUACUGAGGUUAACCCCUGGAAGAGGUAUAGGGCUCUUUACCUUACGUGGUGUCUGGUCUUCACUGUGUCAUUACCUUAGGAUAGCUCAUGCAUAUUAUUAGUUACCCUGUGUUAAAAAAUGCACCUUUUUUUAACAUUGAAGACAAGGCCCCUGUUAGUAAAUGGCUGAUUCAAUCUACACGGAGGUAUUCCAUGAUAUAGCAAUUUCAUAAAAUGAACCAGAAUUCCUAAGUUUUACCCAGACAAAUUUCCCAAUCUGUCAGAGUCCAAACUUUGACUUCACUGGAAGAGAGCGCAUGCACCUACAGACAGAAUUUGGUUCAGAGACAGCUAUUUGUACUGCUGUCAGGUCUCAUCCUGCUUCAGAGAGAUGACCUGUCAUAUUGCUCAGGCUGAAGUAGGUCAGUAUACAGUGGUUUUGUGAACUGGUACUUUUAAAGCUCUCUGUUUAAAAUCUUGACACUUACUUUGGUACCUAAAUAGGAACUGAGUUCUUUUGAAAAUCUGUCUUCUUGUAGCUGUCACUGGAGUGGAAUACCCUGUAUAUAACUUGAAAUUGUGCUCACUAUAUAUGGGUUUCUCUAUUUCUGGUAAACUGGCAGUGGGAAGGCAAGAGUGUUUUUUAAAAGACUGUUGCCCGUCUUCCGCAUACACAAAGCAAAUGUUCUGAAAAAAUAAGCUUUGAACAUUUAUGACCUUGAACACUGACUCCUAAUCUACAGGGCAUCGGACUGGCAUGAAAAUGUAACAUCCCUUGUAUUAAAAAUAAAGGACUGUAAUAUUCUACAGUUGUAAUCCAAAACAUUGCAGUAACACUACUAUAAGCUGUAGUGUUUUGGAACAUAACUGUAGAAUACAGUCGUACAUUUAGUACAUUGUUUUAAAAUAUAAGAGAUGACGCUUUAAAAGCACUGAUGCAACUUUUCAGUUCUUGUUUAAACCCACUCUUGUCUCUCAAUUUUGAAGCACUAUCACUCAGCUCUGGUUUUGCUUCCUAACGUCAACUUGCUUUCAGCUGAGCUUUUGUUUUUCGAAGUCUGAGAAACACACCUGUUUAAACAAUGAAGAAAAUACAAAGGAACUUUUGAAAAUGGCUCAGUAUCUAUUAUUUCAUAACUGAAACCAAGUCAGGUUUCUUUUGUAUUUUAGCAUGAUAUUGCAAGCCACACAGGAAACCUACCUUCAUUUCUAUAGUGACUUAUUCUAGAAUAUUUGGUCAGAUAUUAUCAACUAUAUUAAAUAGUAAAAUUACUCAGUGCUGGCACCACUCCUAAAUAUAAAUCCAUCUGUAUGUAUUAUGGUGCUAUUCAGAUAUUAAAAGAGAAUAAGAUGAGUUUCAUUUUCUGCCAGUGACAAAUAAAGUAACCAUCAAAGCAGGUGAAAUAAGAAGAAGAAGAAAAAAGGAUAUUGUGAAAUUUCCUCACGUCUGCUUUCUUUAUUUACAGAAAGCUAAGGUCAAGUGAUUCUUUUGCUACGAUUGUUCUUCGUGGGCCCCAUCCUGUUCCUACUGAAAUCACACAAAACAAAACUUGCUAAACAUAAGAGGGCCAGAUCCUCAGCUAGUGUAAAUCCAUGUAGCACUGUUGACUUCAGUGGAGCUACACUGAUGAUUCAUACCAGCUGGGAAUCUGACCCAACAGUUUGCACAUUUGUCUCAGGGAAAGGCUUAGUGGCAUUUUAAGAGCAAUGCUGUGCUGUGUCUUCUCUGGUGCACCACACAGCUCAUCUGGACUUUCAAAACACAAAUUCAGUCAAGACAUUCCAAGGCGUUUAGUUUCAGUCAAGUUUCCAAGAAUUGAGGAGGACGUACUUGCUGGUCUAACUUAUUUUAGCCAUUUCUCGGUUCACCAUUUGGCUAUACUGAAUGGAAGCAGACCACAUCUGACUGACUGUAACUUUCCCUUAGUCGUACAAACCUUGUAGAUUGCAUCAGCAUUUCUAAAAUCUAAACAAAUAAGCAGGGAUGGAGAAAAGGACAACCAGAUAUAUUUACAGUAUGAAAGCAGAAUGAUCGGAUCUUUUUAGAGUGCUCUCCUCUUCAGAGCCCACCAUGCAAAGUAUUUUCACAUGCUAGUAUGCAGUGAGGUGAAGAAAGCCAAGCAAUUGAAAGGAACGGGUGGGGAGACUGUCUCCUGUGUCUUGCUACCCAGCAGUUUGCAGUGUCUUCCAGAAAAACAUCUAUGGUGCAUGUCUGCUGAAAACAAUGUGGUAGGCUAACCUCAUGGGCAUAGUCACAGCUUCUUUUAAAGCCUGAUUCAAAGACUCCUACUGGAUUCAAUAAACGUCAGCUCAUGUUCCUGAUGGUUCUGUGUUGAUGAGACCCCUGCUCCUCACCAAGCUUCAAAGUAAUUUUUUAAAUGGUAAUUUCAAGAAAUUGAGCUCUGCCCACUCCAAAAAGUUCUUGUCGCCUCUUAGGGAUCUCUCUUCCACAUAUUGCUAUUUACUUACCUGCUGCACAGAAGAGUUGUGAAGAUUAACUUUAGUGAGAUUGCACAGGUGUAAACUGAGAGCAGAAAAUGGCCUAUUAAAACAAUAUUUUUCCUCUAGAGUCCUUGUAUACAAUGAACAGCAACAGAAACAAAUAAAUGUUUAGCUUAUGAGCAGGAGUAAAUUUUGGUAUUUCACUCCCACUCACAACGGGUUAUUUAUAGUAACUAAUCAUAUAUGCAAUAUGCUUUUUAAUGUUCUUGUCUCCAUUGAAAAUGUUUAAUGUUUUGCAAAACGUAGAGUUCCAGAAUCCAGUAUUUUAUUAUAUUUGAAGAAGAUUCUUAAUUGAUGGAAAAUGUGUUACUAUUUUUGUAACACUUUGCUAUCUAAUUAUGAAAGAUAAACCGAAUUGCUGACCGGACCAUUUACUUUCUUACAUAUGCAGCAAAAGUGAAGGUGGAAGACAGAUCAGGUAAGUGGAUAUGGUAAAGUCAAGGCAGUAUGAGUCACUGGUUAGAGUUCACUGCUCUAAAAGUUAUAGCAAUGAUCUAUUUUUAACAUGUUCUUUCCACUUGUCCCACCUCCCCAAAAAGGCCUUUCAAAAAUGGAGUAAAAUCAGAAUUGUUAAGGCCUUUUAAGUACUCUUUUUCCACAUAUUUUAACCAAGAAAUUCGUAACAGUCAAAUAAACCAAGUAGCUGCAACCCAUCAGCCAUUCCUGUUGAGUUUUCAGCUAGAUUAAUUUUUAAUUGCUUUAGGUACAUGUAAACAAAGGUUGCUGAAUGAUAGCUUUACAGAUAUGAAAAUGCAGUUAUUUGAUCAACGGUUGCUAUGGCAGCUAACCUACAUCUAGAUUAUCUUGUACAUUUCUCCAAAAAGCAUUACAAGUCUGAGCUAUUUUUUUACAUUUACAUUCCUCCGACAGCAUUUUGAUAGACUGCUUGGUUUGCUCCUUCUGUCUGAAUUGUCCAUUACUUUUUUGGCCAGGUCCUUGACCUCUUGUAAGGCUCCUUUGUGCCAUUUCUGCCUUACGUCCUCAGUUGUGGAUUCACCCCAUACAUCCUGGAAUGUCCUCCAGGCCACCCACUGGUGGAGAGGAUUGGAGGGGCGGAUCAGGGGUGCGAUUAGGGAAGGACUGUGAUCCAGCUAUUCUGGCUAGCAGGUGCAGCCCUAAGUCGGUUCGCUAUAAAAUUUAAAGGUCAGAAUUUGCUCUCAUCAGUUACAUGGCGAUUUGAAUAAGAGCAACUCAGUUGACUUUAGUGGAGUUGCUCUAGAUUUAAACAAGCAUAAAUGAGAGCAAAAUUUGCCCUUAAGGCCUUGAAUUAAU